CGCAAACUGCGCAGACGGUCGGGUGAAGGCGGAGCAAAGGUCCGGAAGAGCCAUCGCGGGAGCCCACCGGCGUUCAGCUGCCGUUGCGCCCGACUCGGCCCAGGCCCGGGGGGUCGCGGCCCCAGGCGUCUCCAUGGUGCUGGCAUCUGAGGCGGGUGUGAAGCAAGGCAGGGCGAGGCCGUUCGGCUGCCUUUGCUUUUGGAAUCACUCAACGAACGUAUUUCAAAGGGGACGAGCAUGCUGUGUCGACUUCACCUCUAUGGUUUUCCGAGGCUUUAGACUGGACAGCUGUCCUGCAAAAGAUUCAGUAAGAAAGGAAGUGCAAGAAAAAAACCCCAUCAAUAUAUUAUCCUUGAACUCCACUGUGAUCCUGGAAAUAGGAGCUCGGUCACUAUCUCCCACUUUGGGGAGGAGUACAGUUGAGUAGCCAUCACAAAUCAGGAUGCCUGUCUCUGCUUGGACCAGGUCAAGACAUCACACUUCACCUACCCCAGCCAGCCUGGGGGAUGCCUUGGAAACUGUGAUCAGGCCUCAUCCCCAUCUUGCCGCAAACCGCAUCUCUGCGAUGCAGAGAAGAUCCCUGAGCGGCAGUGGAACCCAAGCCGCCAGCGGUGAAAGCACCAACUCCUAGCCACUAGGCCACCAGGGAAUCACACAAGGACUCUAAUUUGGCUUCUCCAGGUGAAAAUUCU
rnacentral:lncRNA from 1 species